UAGCCUGUUCUUUUGCAGCACAAAACAGAGAGUCCGUGUGUGUUCCCGCGGCCCUCGUCGGUGAUCGUCGGAGUGCCGCUGACAAUUGGUAUCAGAGUUCCGGUCACCUCCGCCGCUACGACGAACAGCUCUGGCAGGCGCUUGAGGCUCCAGCAGCCCUUGAUCCUCACCGUUUCAAGGUUGGGCGCCAACAUCUUGCCCCUGUAGAUGCCCUGCAGCUUGGGUAACUCAUGCAG
rnacentral:lncRNA from 1 species